UACGGAGGGGACUAGCGUUGUUCGGAAUUACUGGGCGUAAAGCGCACGUAGGCGGAUUUGUAAGUCAGGGGUGAAAUCCCGGGGCUCAACCUCGGAACUGCCUUUGAUACAGCAAGUCUUGAGUUCGAGAGAGGUGGGUGGAAUUCCUAGUGUAGAGGUGAAAUUCGUAGAUAUUAGGAAGAACACCGGUGGCGAAGGCGGCCCACUGGCUCGAUACUGACGCUGAGGUGCGAAAGCGUGGGGAGCAAACAGGG
rnacentral:rRNA from 1 species